AGUGAACGCUGGCGGUAGGCCUAACACAUGCCAGUCGAACGGCAGCACAUUAAGAGCUUGCUCUUACGGGUGGCGAGUGGCGGACGGGUGAGGAAUACAUCGGAAUCUACUUUUUCGUGGGGGAUAACGUAGGGAAACUUACGCUAAUACCGCAUACGACCUACGGGUGAAAGCAGGGGAUCUUCGGACCUUGCGCGAUUGAAUGAGCCGAUGUCGGAUUAGCUAGUUGGCGGGGUAAAGGCCCACCAAGGCGACGAUCCGUAGCUGGUCUGAGAGGAUGAUCGGCCACACUGGAACUGAGACACGGUCCAGACUCCUACGGGAGGCAGCAGUGGGGAAUAUUGGACAAUGGGCGCAAGCCUGAUCCAGCCAUACCGCGUGGGUGAAGAAGGCCUUCGGGUUGUAAAGCCCUUUUGUUGGGAAAGAAAAGCAGCAGGUUAAUACCCCGCUGUUCUGACGGUACCCAAAGAAUAAGCACCGGCUAACUUCGUG
rnacentral:rRNA from 1 species